rnacentral:sRNA from 1 species
UAGGCUCUGUGUGCGACAAAGUUUCCUCAAGAAGCCCUGGGAAAUUAUCAUGGUCAAUCUGCUCCAUCAGCUCACGCAAGCCCUUAUCCAUAUCAACCUGAAUUUCACCCAUUGAAACAGUAACUGGUUGCUCUUGUUGCAUUGUUGCCGCCACUCUACUGGCCAAGGCAUCAGGCGUGCUAUGAAAUGGCAUGCUCUGCCCUGAAGAAGUGGAGGUUAAAGGAUCCACAGUCCCCUCCAUCUUCUCCUCCUUGGCGCUGUCCCAACCAGCAAAAAAUUGCUCUAAGAGGUCGUCGAAUGAUUCGGGAGGUAAAAGAAGAUUGUUGGCAUCCCUCGUCAUUCCCUUCACGUUAGGAGCCAUGCCCAUACCAU